CAGGGGUUAUGUUAUGUGCGUCUAUUGGUUCUGUUAUGGAUUCCACCUGGUGUAAUGAUUCCAAUAAUAUUUGGACAAAGGAGUAUCAGCAAUCAACGACUUAACCCCUUGUACGAGAAGUUGUGUUGAAUUUUCCCCAUUGCUCGGUGCAGCGUACCACCUGCUGAUUUCAUGAUCGAUUGUGACCUCUUUAAUCGCAGUCCUAACUCUUUCACUAUUUCUGUGCAAGCUCACUAAUGCUCCGGAAUCCAAGAGACCCACGAACUCCAGGUCUUCUAUAGUGACAUGUGCGAAUGGUCUAUUGUCGUCUUCCACAGCCUCUCCGAUGGCAGAACAUAUCAUCCUUCUUUUUGUCUUCCGCUGCUGACUACUUCUACAGGCUCUGCUAUCUGUAUCAUUAUACAUGCAAUCUAACGAGGCUUUCAUUUGUUCUUGGCAAACGGAUUGGAGCGUAGUUCCUCGUUAUUGCCCAAGUUCCUCCCACCGUUUUCCGAUUGGCAUCGUGCACACCUUGGAGUCCUCACACCAGCUAGUCCACACUUAGGCAGAAUACCAUUAAUAGCUCAGACUCACACGCUUUGAAUAGGUGUCCCGAAGUUCCACAAUUCCAGCAUGUCUUCGCAGGAUCUCUGGAGCUCCGUGGCUUAUGAGAACCAGAGACAUCGAACGGGAUCUCAAUGUGCCCAAACUUGGAGACAAGCUGCAGGAACUCUGUUGGAAAUAUAUGGAAAGGCUAAAUGAGCACCCCAACAGCCUAGCCAGAAAACUUGGUACCGCUGCUAUAAACAGCGCUGAACCAAGCAACCGAGUCAAAAGAAGACUAAAAAGACAUUACCUUCAAGACCUAACGGACCGGGUUUUGACCUAGCAACAUCACCACCCUCAAUAUUAAUAUCAAAAAAAAUAAAUAUAACGAAAUUAUUUCUUGCCUUAAGCAACCCUUAGACUAAGUAUUGUACUAUUUUUGUAAAAACUGAUUAGAUAAAGCUGCCAGUCGGGUAGCAGUGUGCUAAUCCUAAGAAUAAAAUUUCCACA